GGAGCUGAGGGAGGAGGUCCAGGACCGGGCCCUGGGGUCGCUGUUCCACCUGGUGUGUGACCUCUACAAGGCAAGGAAGCCGCCGGUGUGCACCGGAGCGCCGGUCAGACUGGACCGGAGUCUCUGCUGAACCCGCCAAACGUUAGCAUGUAGCAGAGCUAUCUGACAGAGCUACCAUUAGCAUGUAGCGCUAACAGAGCUAUCUGACAGAGUUAACAUUAGUAUAGCUAUCUAACAGAGCUAACAUUAUUAUGUAGCGUUAACAGAGCUAUCUAACAGAGCUAACAUUAGCAUGGGGCACUAACAAAGCUAUCUAACAGAGCUAACAUUAGCAAGUAGCGCUAACUGAGCUAGCUGACAGAGCUUCAUGCCUGAAUAAAACUAACGUUAGAAUGACCAUUCAAUAUUUUAACUGCUAAAUUGACUUUUGUGUUACCAAAUGAUGUUAUCCCGCUUUAUGUCAAGAACAGUUUGAAUACAACUUUAUCGAUAAGUUUUGAACAGUCCAAACCUUUUACUGGUUCAUAGUUUGAGUUUACAAUAACUAAAUAUCAGUUAUUGAUCCCUGGAUCACAAAUCAUGUUCGCAUUUCAGGGAUGAUUGUCAUUCUUUGUAGAAGCUAAGCAAUGCUUAAAAUGUGUACCAACCUAUCAAUAAAUAUUAAAACAUUGUCCAUUUCAAAGGUUGAUUUUUCUGAGUUUGUCAAUAAGUUGCUCGACUGUCCAUAUUGUUCCUCCUUCUUCUAACAAAUGUACUUAUUUUAAGUUGCUUUAUAUAAAAGCGUUUGCUAAACACCAUGAAGGUAAACAAAUGUAAAUGACUGCAAAUAGAGGUGGAAGGAAUUUUACACUAAAACCUGACAGUAACUUUGUCUCUGAAUAUCAACGCAGAAGCUCAAGUGUCAGAUGUAGAAUUUCUAUUUAAUUUACUUUCCACUUAAAACACUCUGAACUCCCACUAUUGUUAUGGUUCAACAUCAUGAAACAAAAGGCAGUUGAUGAGUCUCCACAGACACAGGGUGGGGUACAUGGUUGGACCCUCAGGCUCCACAGACACCGGGUGGGGUACAUGGUUGGACCCUCAGGCUCCACAGACACAGGGUGGGGUACAUGGUUGGACCCUCAGGCUCCAAAGAAACAGGGUGGGGUACAUGGUUGGACCCUCAGGCUCCACAGCUUCAUACGUUUACAGCAGCGAUUCCCAACCCGCGGGCCCCGGGACGGAGCCGGGCCCCGGGAGGGAGCCGGGCACCGGUCUAGAACCCGAAAUAUGAAAUAAUUACAGAAAAGCUUAAGAAAAAACGGCACUACUUUUGUGUUUAAGGAAGUCUCAGGUGACUUUUCUUGUGCUUCUCUUAUAAAUUGUGUUAUUUAAUAUCUCUUCAACAAAAUUGUUGAAGGGAGCCUGAGACUCAAGCAUUUCAUUGCUGUUGCUUUCAUUUGUUUUGAAUGUGACAUUUUUUUAUAUGAUUAUGCCGCUCCUUGGAAGACAAAGGUUGGGAACCCCUGCUUUACAGUACUUUGUCUCUUCGCUCAGAAUAAAUAUUGUUUAGAACCAAUGGAGGACGGGACACGAGAUCAGCAUGGAGAUCUAAUUGGACGCGGUAGUAUUUACCCAGUGUUAGCACACCGCAAGCUAAUGCUAAUUAUAAUUAGCACUUCGCAAACUGAUGCUAACCCUGUUUUUGCAGAGCACAAGCUUACGGUUACCUUGUAUUGUCACAGCAGCUGUUAAUGCUAACCCAGUAGAAGCACACCACAAUCAAAUGCUAACCCUUUAUUAGCACAGCACAAGCUAAUCCCAAUCUGGGUCAUCCCUAUGUUCCCCAGGUCCUAUGUUCCCUGUGUGCAAAGGGUUAGGGUCAGGUUUAGGGUUAUGGUUAUGGUUAGGGUGAGGUUUAACCCUAAACCUCACCCUAACCAUAACCAAUCGGAGGAGAGCCAUUCUAACCAAUCACAGGCGAAUCAGAGGCGAAAAAGGCGGUACUUGCCCCUACCAUCCUACGAAAAAAAGAUUUGCUUACAGGGUCCUAUGUUCACCAGUCACAUACAAAGCGGGGAACAUAGGACCCGGGAACAAAGGUACGCUCCCUCCCAAUCCUGUAUUAGCACAGCACACGGCAAUGACCCUGUAUUAGCACAGCAUAAUUAAAUGCCAACCAAGAAUCAGCAGAGAACAAGCUAAUGCUGACCCAUUGUUAGAACAAUACAGAGCACAAGCUAAUGCUAACCCUGUAUCAGCGGAACACAUAGCAACCCUGUAGCAGAAGCUAAUGCUAACCCUGUAUCAGCGGAACACAUAGCAACCCUGUAGCAGAAGCUAAUGUUAACCCUGUAGGAGAAGCUAAUGUUAACCCUGUAUCAGAAGGUAAUGCUAACCCUGCAUCAGAAGCUAAUGCUAACCCUGUAUCCGAAGCUAAUGCUAACCCUGUAUCAGCGGAACACAUAGCCACCCUGUAUCAGAAGCUAAUGCUAACCCUGUAUCAGCGGAACACAUAGCCACCCUGUAUCAGAAGCUAAUGCUAACCCUGUAUCUGAAGCUUAUGCUAAUGGAAAUAACUAUUAGGAGUAAGAAAUAGGAAUAAGAACAACUGAUUAAACAUUUUGAGACGGACAGAGGGCUGGAACUCCCUAACGGCGUUCUUAUCAACCGUCAUGUGGUUAGGUUUAGGGCUGUGCAAAGUGACUUACUGCAAGUGUUAUUUAAUUUUAAGUGAGUGGAACUAAAAACAAAAACGAUUUCUGUUACGAUUGUUAACAUUCUGUGGGCAAAACCUUUCAAAAUCAAAGUAAAAAAAAAACAAGAGAACAUGCGUCAAUUUGUAUUAAUCGUAAAAUGAGAUUGCGGUAACAUGUAAUUAACAUGUUAAAUUGCCAAGCCCUAAUCAGAAAACCUUGUGGACAGAAAACCUCCACCAAGCGGUUCUAACUUUGCUACCAGGAAGCUACAAGUUACAAAAGAGUAAAAUACAGUUUAAAAUAUGGAAGUCAGACAGAGAGCGGUUGAUCUGGUUGGUUAUAAAGUUGAUGAGUAUUUGUAAAUACAAGUGUGAGGCAUCGAGACAAUCAUCGCGUCAAAAAGUCAUUUUUCAAAGGUUGUCGGUCCGAGGCUAGCUGGUUGGUUAACGUAGGGCCGAGCCGACCAGUCGACCGCCAACCCCUACCUCGGUGUUGUGGUUCACUUUAAUACCUACUGGCAGCAUAUGACAUCAGCAACUAGUGACAUCAUCCCCAAGGGACGGGGGGGGUUCCCCUCCGAGCUGCCCUCUGACCCCAUCUUUAGAACAACCGGUACCACAACCUCUUCCUCCAUUGAUUCAAGAAGGGUGCAGGGUGGCCUCACAGAGCACCCACUCAUUGAGAGGACACCGUGCACCGCAGUCUGUGUGGAUCGAUGUUCAACCUUCAGUCCUCAAACCUUCCCAGCCCCCGCCGGCCCCCGAGGUCCGGGCCCCCCCACAAGGCCUCAUCACGGGGUGAGGCUGACGGCUGUGGACGCUGUGGGCGCUGGGAGGACCAGCACCCGUGGGGGGGGUCACUGACCGUCUCCACGCUCACUUGAGACCUUGCCAAUAACUCGUACUAAUAAUAAAUAAUACUAUUAUUACUAUGGUAAUACCACGACUACCACAACAAAAUACUCCCUCAUCUGGGAACCGUCUGAUUCUGCGUUACUUCUGCCGUAUCAUCUGGUGUGGUGUAAAAAAAUAAUACAAAUAAAAAUGAUUUGAGGUGGGAGGGUUGAAUCUGGUUGCAGUAGUCUGCUUUGGUCUAGGGGGGCGCUGGGGGGG
ensembl:lncRNA